GACCUUGUAGAGCAGACGGUAGAGCAUCGUUCUAGAAAUACGAAGGUCGCGGGUUCGAAUCCCAGCCGCGGUCA